CGAGAGAGCGCUCAGGCCAGCUAGGCGUUGUGUGAUCAGCAGCUGGCGCGGAAGCUUCAGGUGGACAGUGAUCGUUGCGGAAGAUGUCGGACAGCGAAGACAGCAACUUCUCGGAGGAGGAGGACAGCGAGCGCAGCAGCGAGGCGGAGGAGGCCGAGGUAGAGGAAGACCGGCGAAGUGCCGCAGGCAGUGAAAAAGAAGAGGAGCCCGAGGAAGAGGAGGAGGAGGAAGAGGAGGAAUACGAUGAGGAGGAGGAGGAGGAGGAUGAUGACCGGCCUCCCAAGAAACCACGCCAUGGGGGCUUCAUUUUAGAUGAGGCUGAUGUCGAUGAUGAAUAUGAAGAUGAAGACCAGUGGGAAGAUGGAGCUGAAGAUAUCCUGGAGAAAGAAGAGAUUGAAGCCUCCAACAUUGAUAACGUUGUGCUGGAUGAAGACCGCUCUGGGGCUCGUCGUCUGCAAAAUCUCUGGAGGGACCAGAGAGAAGAAGAACUGGGCGAGUAUUACAUGAAGAAAUAUGCCAAGUCAUCUGUGGGAGAGACGGUAUAUGGAGGGUCUGAUGAGCUCUCAGAUGACAUCACCCAGCAGCAGCUGCUCCCAGGAGUCAAGGACCCCAACCUGUGGACGGUCAAGUGUAAGAUUGGGGAGGAACGGGCCACAGCAAUUUCCUUGAUGCGAAAAUUCAUCGCUUACCAGUUCACAGACACA
rnacentral:lncRNA from 1 species